rnacentral:rRNA from 1 species
GGAAUUGACGGGGGCCCGCACAAGCAGCGGAGCAUGUGGCUUAAUUCGAAGCANCGCGAAGAACCUUACCAGGGCUUGACAUAUGGGUGAAGCGGGGGAGACCCCGUGGCCGAGAGGAGCCCAUACAGGUGGUGCAUGGCUGUCGUCAGCUCGUGUCGUGAGAUGUUGGGUUAAGUCCCGCAACGAGCGCAACCCCCGCCGCGUGUUGCCAUCGGGUGAUGCCGGGAACCCACGCGGGACCGCCGCCGUCAAGGCGGAGGAGGGCGGGGACGACGUCAAGUCAUCAUGCCCCUUAUGCCCUGGGCUGCACACGUGCUACAAUGGCCGGUACAGAGGGAUGCCACCCCGCGAGGGGGAGCGGAUCCCGGAAAGCCGGCCCCAGUUCGGAUUGGGGGCUGCAACCCGCCCCCAUGAAGUCGGAGUUGCUAGUAAUCGCGGAUCAGCAUGCCGCGGUGAAUGCGUUCCCGGGCCUUGUACACACCGCCCGUCACACCACCCGAGUCGUCUGCACCCGAAGUCGCCGGCCCAACCGCAA